ACCGUGACCUAAUCAAAACAACCAAUCAGAGCCAGGAGGAGUGUCUGACUGAGUGUCAUUCACUGCUCGAGCACAUGCUACAGGCUGCCCCCUACCCCACACAUAACAUGGGAUGAGUUCGAAAACUUAAAUAGCUGUCUUGAUCCGUGAUCUCUCGUUGGACAGGUGUCUGACGAGACACGUCUUUUCGGGGAAAGUCGCAACCAAGUCUUCAGAAGCUGGCUGGUGGAGGGGCCCCCUGUCGUCCUGCUGUCUAGCAAAGUGCAGGUAAGCUUUUGCAUCCCUCUCACAACCUUAUUGAACUCCUUUUUACUCUGUGCAGCAUUUCACAGAAUGCCAACACCACUUACUUUGACAAAUUCAGUGACUUGGUCCCAGGAUGUCCAUACUUCCCCAUGUCCAGGAGCUCUUUUGACAGUUCCAAAAAUGAUUUAGGCCACUUGGGUCUUCCUGUUUUUUAACAAAUAAGACCGGUUGCAGUCUUAUUGUAGAAUGCAGAAUGUAACUGUAUAAUAUUGCAGAUAAACAGUGGUGAUGUGGAUGAUUUCUUUAAUCAGCUAGUCAAUAUAUUUUGACAUGUGUGUGUCACUACAUCUCAAACAUUACAUUUCCAUGAGUAUCUGCAUUUUCCAUUAAAAGCACAUUUCAGAAUAUCUGAUAUGAUGGCAGCCUUGGCAGUCCUUUGUCUACACAACACAGGAGAUUAUAACAGCGUCAGUUGUAAUACAGUAAUAGUUACUGUUUUACAUUAACU
ensembl:lncRNA